CUCAGGGGAGGGGGUCCCUCAGCCUGGAUUGCGAGAGGGCGCAGGCCAGGCUGAAGGACCCUACUGGUGCACA
rnacentral:pre_miRNA from 1 species